GAUGAACGCUGGCGGCGUGCCUAAUACAUGCAAGUCGAGCGAACAGAUGAGGAGCUUGCUCCUCUGACGUUAGCGGCGGACGGGUGAGUAACACGUGGAUAACCUACCUAUAAGACUGGGAUAACUUCGGGAAACCGGGGCUAAUACCGGAUAAUAUAUUGAACGGCAUGGUUCAUUAGUGAAAGACGGUUUUGCUUUCCCUUAUAGAUGGAUCCGCGCCGAAUUAGCUAGUUGGUAAGGUAACGGCUUACCAAGGCAACGAUGCGUAGCCGACCUGAGAGGGUGAUCGGCCACACUGGAACUGAGACACGGUCCAGACUCCUACGGGAGGCAGCAGUAGGGAAUCUUCCGCAAUGGGCGAAAGCCUGACGGAGCAACGCCGCGUGAGUGAUGAAGGUCUUCGGAUCGUAAAACUCUGUUAUUAGGGAAGAACAAAUGUGUAAGUAACUAUGCACGUCUUGACGGUACCUAAUCAGAAAGCCACGGCUAACUACGUG
rnacentral:rRNA from 1 species